rnacentral:rRNA from 1 species
GAUGAACGCUGGCGGCGUGCCUAAUACAUGCAAGUCGAGCGAACAGACGAGGAGCUUGCUCCUUCGACGUUAGCGGCGGACGGGUGAGUAACACGUAGGUAACCUACCUAUAAGACUGGGAUAACUUCGGGAAACCGGAGCUAAUACCGGAUAAUAUUUCGAACCGCAUGGUUCGAUAGUGAAAGAUGGCUUUGCUAUCACUUAUAGAUGGACCUGCGCCGUAUUAGCUAGUUGGUAAAGUAACGGCUUACCAAGGCAACGAUACGUAGCCGACCUGAGAGGGUGAUCGGCCACACUGGAACUGAGACACGGUCCAGACUCCUACGGGAGGCAGCAGUAGGGAAUCUUCCGCAAUGGGCGAAAGCCUGACGGAGCAACGCCGCGUGAGUGAUGAAGGUCCUCGGAUCGUAAAACUCUGUUAUUAGGGAAGAACAAACGUGUAAGUAACUGUGCACGUCUUGACGGUACCUAAUCAGAAAGCCACGGCUAACUACGUG